UCCGGAGUGGCUCAGAGGUUAGAGCGGGUGGCUGUUAACCACUAGGUCGGGGGUUCAAAUCCCUCCUCCGGAGCCA
rnacentral:tRNA from 1 species